rnacentral:rRNA from 1 species
CGAACUGUGCGAACGUUAUUCGGAAUCACUGGGCUUAAAGGGUGCGUAGGCGGCGGCACAAGUCAGGUGUGAAAUCCCCCGGCUCAACCGGGGAAUAGCGCUUGAAACUAGGCCGCUCGAGUGAGGCAGGGGUGCAUGGAACUUCCGGUGGAGCGGUGAAAUGUGUAGAGAUCGGAAGGAACGCCGGCGGCGAAAGCGGUGCACUGGGCCUUGUCUGACGCUGAGGCACGAAAGCUAGGGGAGUGAACGGGAUUAGAUACCCCGGUAAUCCUAGCCGUAAACACUGAGCACUGGAGGGGAGGGGCUUCGGCCUUUUCCCUCGCAGCGAAAGCGUUAAGUGCUCCGCCUGGGGAGUAUGGUCGCAAGGCUG